AGAUCAUUUUGGGGGCAAUUUUGAAGUAAUCCCUUUGUAACGCUCUCAUGUUCUGUAAAGUGAUUCACCCGGUUGUUGCUUAAAGUUGGCUAUCGCCUUCUUGAUUUU